CUGGUUCUACUGGUUCUCCUUUUCUGCCUCCAUCUCAGGUGAAGUUCUGACUGCAGGUAAACUGGUUCUACUGGUUCUCCUUUUCUGCCUCCAUCUCAGUCUGUUUUCUCCAGACCUUCGUCUGUUCUCUGCUUUGCCUAAAGACACCCUGCAGGUGUGUGAGCUAAUGUGAAGUGAGCAGCAUGGAUCAGUGUGAGGACAGAGAGGACAGAGUCCCUCCCUCUAAAACCACUCUGUGUGGAGAACAUGAGGACCAGAGCAAAGCUCAGAGGAAACUAACAGAACCAGAACCUGGACCAGAACCAGAACCUGGACCAGAAC